GAAGAUAGGAACAAACGGCCUUUGGUCAUUAUACAGCCUAAAAGGACAAAAGAAGAAAUUAGCAUUUCUAGAAAAACAAGAACUAUAUAAUGUUAUUUUAAAAUCAUCUAUCAACGCACAUCCGCAAGUUAAGGUGGAAGACGUGACCUUUCAAAUUUCUGAAGUACUUAAACAUGCUCCAAACAGGCCUGGUGGAUCUAGGUACAAGGGAAAACUUGCAAGUACGAUUCGUAUACAAGAGGGGCAACAAGAGGCAGAGGAUGUCUACUAAGA